CUCUUGGACUCCGGCUGCAGCGUCAGCCUCCCUCGGGCCUCGGCAGCGGCGGCGGCUCGCUCGCCUCAGCCCCAGCGCCCCUCGGCUACCCUCGGACCAGGCCCGCAGCGCCGCCCGCCCUCGGCCGCCCCGACGCCGGCCUGGGCCGCGGUCGCAGCCCCGGGCUCGCGUAGGCGCCGAACGCUCCCGGCCCGCCCACUACGGGCCCAGGCUAGAGGCGCCGCCGCCACCGGCCCGCGGAGCCCGGAUGCUGGCCCGGAGGAAGCCGAUGCUGCCGGCGCUCACCAUCAACCCUACCAUCGCCGAGGGCCCGUCCCCAACCAGCGAGGGCGCCUCCGAGGCAAACCUGGUGGACCUGCAGAAGAAGCUGGAGGAGCUGGAACUUGACGAGCAGCAGAAGCGGCUGGAAGCCUUUCUCACCCAGAAAGCCAAGGUCGGCGAACUCAAAGACGAUGACUUCGAAAGGACCUCAGAGCUGGACGCGGGCAACGGCGGGGUGGUCACCAAAGUCCAGCACAGACCCUCGGGCCUCAUCAUGGCCAGGAAGCUGAUCCACCUUGAGAUCAAGCCGGCCAUCCGGAACCAGAUCAUCCGCGAGCACCAGGUCCUGCACGAGUGCAACUCACCGUACAUCGUGGGCUUCUACGGGGCCUUCUACUGUGACAGGGAGAUCAGCAUCUGCAUGGAGCACAUGGAUGGCGGCUCCCUGGACCAGGGGCUGAAAGAGGCCAAGAGGAUUCCCGAGGACAUCCUGGGGAAAGUCAGCAUUGCGGUUCUCCGGGGCUUGGCGUACCUCCGAGAGAAGCACCAGAUCAUGCACCGAAAUGUGAAGCCCUCCAACAUCCUCGUGAACUCUAGAGGGGAGAUCAAGCUGUGUGACUUCGGGGUGAGCGGCCAGCUCAUCGACUCCAUGGCCAACUCCUUCGUGGGCACGCGCUCCUACAUGGCUCCGGAGCGGUUGCAGGGCACACAUUACUCGGUGCAGUCGGUCAUCUGGAGCAUGGACCUGUCCCUGGUGGAGCUGGCCAUCGAAAGGUACCCCAUCCCCCCGCCCGACGCCAAGGAGCUGGAGGCCAUCUUUGGCCAGCCCGUGGUCGACAGGGAAGAAGGAGAGCCUCACAGCAUCUCCUCUUGGCCAGGGUCCCCCGGGCGCCCCAACAGCGGUUACGGGAUGGACAGCCUGCCCGCCAUGGCCAUCUUCGAACUGCUGGACUAUAUUGUGAAAGAGCCGCCUCCUAAGCUGCCCAACGGUGUGUUCACCCCCGACUUCCAGGAGUUUGUCAAUAAAUGCCUCAUCAAAAACCCAACGGAGCGGGCGGACCUAAAGAUGCUCACAAACCACGCCUUCAUCAAGCGGUCCGAGGUGAAAGAAGCGGAUUUUGCCUGCUAGUUGUGUAAAACCCUGGGGCUGAACCAGCCCGGCACACCCACGCGCACCGCCGUGUAACAGUGGCCAGGCUCCCCGCGUCCCGCUGGUGACCUGCCCACCGUCCCUGUCCACGCCCCGCCCUUCCAGCUGAGGACAGGCUGGCGCCUCCACCCACCCUCCUGCCUCACCCCUGCGGAGAGCACCGUGGCGGGGCGACAACUGCGCACGCAGGAACGGGGGUCUCCUCUCCUGCUGGUCCCUGCCGGCGUGCCUCUAGGGACGGGCGACGCUGCUGUGUGUGGUCUCAGAGCCUCUGCUUCCUUAGGUUACAAAACAAAACAGGGAGAGAAAAACCAAAAAAAAAAAAA